rnacentral:rRNA from 1 species
CUACGGGCCGCUGCAGUGAGGAAUAUUGCACAAUGGGGGGAACCCUGAUGCAGCAACGCCGCGUGGAGGAUGACGCAUUUCGGUGUGUAAACUCCUUUUAUAUGUCAAGAAAAUGACGGUAGCAUAUGAAUAAGCACCGGCUAACUCCGUGCCAGCAGCCGCGGUAAUACGGAGGGUGCAAGCGUUACUCGGAAUCACUGGGCGUAAAGGCAGCGUAGGCGGGUUGGAAAGUCAGGUGUGAAAUCCUACAGCUUAACUGUAGAACUGCACUUGAAACUUCUAAUCUAGAGUAUGGGAGGGGGAGAUGGAAUUAGUGGUGUAGGGGUAAGAUCCGUAGAUAUCACUAGGAAUACCUAAAGCGAAGGCGAUCUCCUGGAACAUUACUGACGCUAAGGCGUGAAAGCGUGGGGAGCAAACAGGAUUAGAUACCCGGGUAGUC